rnacentral:rRNA from 1 species
CCUACGGGGGGCAGCAGUGGGGAAUAUUGGGCAAUGGGCGCAAGCCUGACCCAGCAACGCCGCGUGAAGGAAGAAGGCUUUCGGGUUGUAAACUUCUUUUCUCAGGGACGAAGAAAGUGACGGUACCGGAGGAAUAAGCCACGGCUAACUACGUGCCAGCAGCCGCGGUAAUACGUAGGUGGCAAGCGUUAUCCGGAUUUAUGGGGUGUAAAGGGCGAGUAGGCGGGAGGGCAAGUCAGAUGUGAAAACUCAGGGCUCAACCCUGAGCCUGCAUUUGAAACUGUGUUUCUUGAGUGCUGGAGAGGCAAUCGGAAUUCCGUGUGUAGCGGUGAAAUGCGUAGAUAUACGGAGGAACACCAGUGGCGAAGGCGGAUUGCUGGACAGUAACUGACGCUGAGGCGCGAAAGCGUGGGGAGCAAACAGGAUUAGAUACCCUUGUAGUC